rnacentral:rRNA from 1 species
CGUAGUUGAUCAGUGGCUACGAGGACGACGCUGGCGGCGUGCCUAAUACAUGCAAGUCGAGCGGACCAAAGGGAGCUUGCUCCUGGAGGUUAGCGGCGAACGGGUGAGUAACACGUGGGCAACCUGCCUGUAAGACUGGGAUAACAUCGAGAAAUCGGUGCUAAUACCGGAUAAUAAAAAGAACUGCAUGGUUCUUUUUUGAAAGAUGGUUUCGGCUAUCACUUACAGAUGGGCCCGCGGCGCAUUAGCUAGUUGGUGAGGUAACGGCUCACCAAGGCGACGAUGCGUAGCCGACCUGAGAGGGUGAUCGGCCACACUGGGACUGAGACACGGCCCAGACUCCUACGGGAGGCAGCAGUAGGGAAUCUUCCGCAAUGGACGAAAGUCUGACGGAGCAACGCCGCGUGAGUGAUGAAGGUUUUCGGAUCGUAAAACUCUGUUGUUAGGGAAGAACAAGUGCCGUUCGAAAGGGCGGCACCUUGACGGUACCUAACGAGAAAGCCACGGCUAACUACGUG